CUUUGACUACAAUGAUGUAUUUAAGACAUACAUAGAUAUAGUACGUAGAUACAAUAAUUAAGAAACUAAGGUUAACUUUAUGGAAUCAAUAAAGCUCCUUGGAAAAAUCAGUUUGGUGCCCUGCUUACCAAGUUCCCAACAGCCUUACCAGGUUUUAUUUUUCCACCUCUAAACUGAACUGGAUCCUGAAUUCCUCUAGUGUCCGCCAAUAUUUGACUACGACUCUCCAAACUAACAUUUCCAAAUGUUGUCCCACCCUUCUGAGUUGGAAACACUGAAAACUAAAACUACCCUUUCCCAAAGUCAUGCAACCUAAAGUGGAAAAACUUGAUAGAAACUUCAAAGAAAUCACAAUAGUUCGUGUAUAGAGAAUUUUGGCGCCUAUUGCUGCGUGGGCCACGCAGAAAAGAUCACCAGAAGCAUUCAAACUGCAAACCAGGAAAAUCUAACUGCCACUGUCUGCCCUCACUCCAUCUGAAGAUGCUUUGAGUCUGACAUCUAGAAAUCUCAACGGACUGCCUUCAGAACUCACAAACUGGAAUUAUAAUCUUAAUCCAUCUGUCUGGAAUUUCCUGGUCACCAGUAGUGAAGUAAUCUGCCUGACAGACCUCUGCCUUCCCCCAAAGGCCUAACUUGGGGAACCCACCUGCAUGACCACUUCCUGCAAUGAGACACAACACUUUGAGUUAUGCUCACGAACAAGAGCAGAACUUGGUUCCCUUGAAUAUGAAACAAUCUACCAACACAGGACAGGCUCGAACCUAGUUAUACCAUGGGGCACCUGGGUGGCUCAGUCAGUUUAGUGCCCAACUCUUGAUUUUGGCUCAGGUGAUAACCUCAGGUCUCAUGAGAUGGAGCCACACAUCAGGCUAUGCUGACAGCUCAGAGCCUGCUUGGGAUUC